GAAAUGCGAUAAGUAAUGUGAAUUGCAGAAUUCAGUGAAUCAUCGAAUCUUUGAACGCACAUUGCGCCCCCUGGUAUUCUGGGGGGCAUGCCUGUUCGAGCGUCAUUUCACCACUCAAGCCUCGCUUGGUAUUGGGCGACGCGGUCCGCCGCGCGCCUCAAAUCGACCGGCUGGGUCUUCCGUCCCCUCAGCGUUGUGGAAACUAUUCGCUAAAGGGUGCCGCGGGAGGUCACGCCGCAAAACAACCCCAUUUCUAAGGUUGACCUCGGAUCAGGUAGGGAUACCCGCUGAACUUAAGC
rnacentral:misc_RNA from 1 species